ACUAUUAAAAAUAUCCAUAUCUUAUUCAGAUAUUCAGUUAUGGUGCUGAGCUCAUAAGUAUCAGGGGUAUAGUGAAUACAAAUGAAAAUAGGCAAGCACGUUCAAGUGUUUUAUCUGUAUGCAAAAUUCAUGAAAUGUAGCACACAGCUAGAACAGCCCAACAUGUUUGUUUCCGAAACAUUAAGACUUCAUUGAAUUUUAUUGCAAUUAUUUGAGCUCAGGAGCCAAGUUCAUAUCUCAUCUUUCUUCUUCUAUUUCGGCAGUAAUCGGGUAAAUGAUUAGGAGGUACAUAGAAUUAAAGUCUAAUGGGUAAGGACACUAUUGUUGCUCUAGCCCCUUCCCUUCCCUAUCUGGAUCCUACUCCACGGCUGUAAGAAAACACAACUUUUCCUUAAAAAAAACUUUGCGCGACUUUCUCCAGUAAAAGCUUCACCUAUGUCAUGUUUGCUCUGUAGUUGCACUUCAACGUCUCCUAACUCAUACUCUUUGUAUUGUAAAGAAAAAACUCCACGCUUCGUCAACUCCUCCAGAUACUUAUAAUUGUGCAUCAAGCCUGUAACCUUUGCAUGAAUAAUUACAACAUAUACAAAAAAAUAACUUUUGUAAUGAUUGCCAUAUGUUGCAUCUCUUUCCACAUGGGAUUUUCUCUCGACCUUGUGUUGCCUCCCCUGUGCACAUGGUGUCCCAUCUCACAAUCGUAGAUACAUGUUGUGAAUUAGUAACAAUUCUUGUUUCACAUAUCAGAUGGACAUUGAAAGUUGCAACUUAUUUCUACAUUUCACUGUCAAUUAGCACAUCCAGGCACAAAUCUUCUGCAAGUGGAUGCUCACCGUAAAUUAACAACAUACUUGAGUUGCGGUUUGGACUUCUAACUGCAAUUGCAAGCUAAAAAUUGAAUUGUAUAGCAAACAGACCUUUUCUCGGCAUACAUCACAUUUUCAUGUAUCCGUACAAAUUCUGACUCAAGCUGUAGCUUGAACAUUAUCUUUGCAGGGCUCAGGCGGCUCCUGACCAUCUACAGCUUGAAAGACUAAUUCACAAGGAGGAAGACUGAAAGUACUUGUACUGAUCUACACAUAUGUUUACAAGAUUAUAUGGCGUAUAUUAUCUCUGCUGCUGUCGAUGUCGACAUCAAGGUUGAUGCCAGAGGAGAGGCACUGAAGGAAUGCACGCCAGCGGGCGCAUCAGACUCCUUACAUUGGCUUCGCAAUCGCAAGACAUGCGAGCGUUGGAGCCGAUAACUACAAAAUUUGAAAGAUAAGACGAUUGUGCUGAUGCCAGAUCUCCGAAAUUACCAGGACGACGAGCAUUCUCCAAUACAUAUUAUCAUAUCCAUCCUUAAUAGAACUGCUCCUUUCCUUGGAACAGCUGUAGAAGACAAAAUAAUAUAUUAUGCUACCUUUCUUCCAAGUAUUCAACAUUGCUCAUUGUGUGCCAGUAUAUUAGGCACACCAAACUUAAAUGAGAAGAUAAAUGGCAGC